AUUGAACGCUGGCGGCAGGCCUAACACAUGCAAGUCGAGCGGGGCGGCGGUCGGGUGCGUAAGGCCUAGGACUCUGCCUGGUCGUGGGGGAUAACGUCCGGAAACGGGCGCUAAUACUGCAUACUAUUGGAUGAGGCUCGGUCGGAUUAGCUAGUGGGGGGGGUAAAGGUCUACCAAGGCGACGAUCCGUAACUGGUCUGAGAGGAUGAUCAGUCACACUGGAACUGAGACACGGUCCAGACUCCUACGGGAGGCAGCAGUGGGGAAUAUGGGACAAUGGGCGAAAGCCUGAUCCAGCCAUGCCGCGUGUGUGAAGAAGGUCUUCGGGUUGUAAAGCACUUUAAGUUGGGAGGCGUUACCAGCAGAAUAAGCACCGGCUAACUUCGUGCCAGCAGCCGCGGUAAUUC
rnacentral:rRNA from 1 species